CCUACGGGAGGCAGCAGUGAGGAAUAUUGGUCAAUGGACGAGAGUCUGAACCAGCCAAGUAGCGUGAAGGAUGACUGCCCUAUGGGUUGUAAACUUCUUUUAUACGGGAAUAAAGUGGAGUAUGCAUACUCCUUUGUAUGUACCGUAUGAAUAAGGAUCGGCUAACUCCGUGCCAGCAGCCGCGGUAAUACGGAGGAUCCGAGCGUUAUCCGGAUUUAUUGGGUUUAAAGGGAGCGUAGGCGGGUGCUUAAGUCAGUUGUGAAAGUUUGCGGCUCAACCGUAAAAUUGCAGUUGAUACUGGGCGCCUUGAGUGCAGCAUAGGUAGGCGGAAUUCGUGGUGUAGCGGUGAAAUGCUUAGAUAUCACGAAGAACUCCGAUUGCGAAGGCAGCUUACUGGACUGUAACUGACGCUGAUGCUCGAAAGUGUGGGUAUCAAACA
rnacentral:rRNA from 1 species